CGGGGGCGACGGGCGGAACUUAAGCAUAUCAGUACGCCCCGGAGGAGAAACCAACCGGGAUUCCCCGUAGCGGCGAGCGACGCGGGAGGAGCCCGCCCCGAAGGCGCGCUGUGGGGCGCAGGCGCAGGCCCGCCGCGAGGGGGCCCGAGGGCCCCGCCCGAGAGGGUGCAAGCCCCGUACGGCGGCCGCCGGGCCUGCGCGGCGAGUAGCGCUGCUUGAGCGUGCAGCGCGAAGGGAGGCGCGGCCCUUCCAAGGCUAAAUACGCCCCGGGACCGAUAGCGGACCAAGUAGCGCGAGCGAACGGUGAAAAGGACGCCCUGCGGCCGCUCAAAAGACCUGAACCCGGCCGGCCGCCGGCCCGCCGGCCCCGUCUCGAAACACGGACCGAGGAGCCACGCGCCGCGGCGAGCCCGAGGGAGCCCCCGCGGCGGAGCGAGCGCGAGACGCCCCGGGCCCGCCGCGCCCCUGCGGGCGUGCGCGGGCCGAGCCGCGGCGCGUGGGCCCGAAAGGCGGUGAUCUAUGCCCGGCGAGGGCGAGGCCGGGCGAAAGCCUGGUGGAGGCCCGCCGCGGUGCUGACGCGCAGAUCGCUCGUCGGAGCCGGGCAUGGGGGCGAAAGACUCAUCGAACCGCCUGGUAGCUGGUUGCCUCCGAAAUGUCUCCCAGGACAGCCGCCGCCCCGCAGUUGCGGCCCGUAGAGCGCUGGCCGGCGGGAGCGGGGGGCCUGCCCCUCGCCCGCCCCCCAAACUCCGAAGGGCCGCGCCGCCCCGCCGCUGGCCUGGGCGGGGCGGGCGAAUGCGGGCGGCGCGUGGGCCCCUCCUGGUAAGCAGGACGGGCGAGGCGGGACGAUCCGGACGCCGGGCCAGGGUGCGCCGCCGGGGCCCGCGGAACGGCGUCGGCCGGUCCCGACAGCUGGAAGGUGGCCCCAGAAGUCGGCAUCCUCCAGGGAGUGUGUAACAACCCACCAGCCGAAUCGGCCGGCCCGGAAAAUGGAGCGCGCCGGAGCCCCGGACCCGCGCCCGGCCGCCGCGCGCGGCGGGUAGGAGGCCGCAGAGGCCCCGGGGGCGAAGGCGGCGCGCAGGCCCCGCCGGACCGGCCUCUGGUGCAGAUCUCGGCAGCAGUAGCCGCUACUCCGCGCCCCGGAGGACUGAGGGGGAGACGGGUUCCGCGGCGCCUGCAUCUGGCCGCGGGUGACUCGGGCCUAAGCGGCGGGUGAAGACCGGGAAGGGGCGUGCCCGCCCGUCGAACGGGGAGCCGGCGGAGACUCCGGCAGGCGCGGCCCCCGCGGAGACGCCCGCCCCCCGGCGACGCGCACGGGGACCGCGGCGGGCGGCGCCCCGGCCCGCGAACGCCCCGCAGCCCCCGGACGCCUUGCGCGGAGAGGGGGGCCCGGGGGCGGACCCCGCGCGUCCCCGGCCGCCCCUGAAAAGCCGGGGGGCGCCGGCCGCGCGCCGUACCGACCGCAGCAGGACUCCGGGGUCAGCAGCCUCUAGCGCGGGAGCGAACGCGGCUCAGGGAAGUCGGCAAGCCGGCUCCGUAACCUCGGGAAAAGGAGUGGCUCUGACGGCGCGCCGGGUCAGAACUGGAACGGACGCGGGGAUCCCGACUGUUUACUAGAAACACAGCGUCGCGAGGGCCGCACCCGGCGCUGGCGCGACGUGAUUUCUGCCCAGUGCCACGACCGUCACCGUGAAGCGAUCCGCCGAAGCCCUGGUAAACGGCGGGAGUAACUAUGACUCUCUUAAGGUAGCCAAAUGCCUCGUCGGGCAAUUUCCGACGUGCAUGAAUGGACCAACGAGGAUCCCACUGUCCCGAGCCGCGCCUCCGCGAGCCUCCAGCCUCGGGAACGGGCGAGGGCCGGCCAGCGGGGCAAGAAGACCCUUUUGAGCUUGACUCCAGCCCGGGCCUGUGGGGCGGGGCGGCCGGCGCAGCGCACAGGGG